rnacentral:rRNA from 1 species
AGCUCAUUUAUUAAUGAGUUAAUUCUGCUAUUUGUCAUAUGAGAGAAAAAGCCGUUUUACGCUAAGGUAGCGUAAUCAAAAGCUUGCUAAUUACAAGCCAGUAUGAAAGAAACCAUCCAGACCAGCUAUCAAAAGUAAAAAAUUGAAAUUAAAAUUAAUUAAAAUAAACAUAAUUUUACCCGUAAGACGAGAAGACCCUAAGAACUUUCCUUUGACUAGGUUAAUUGGGGAAAUUUUUCUUUUAAAUCGAGUAAAAAACAAAUUAAAAACGUAAGAUUCACUUUAAAAUAAGUUACCUUAGGGAUAACAGGGUAAUAAAAAACAACAGAUCGCAUAAAAUUUUUUGUUUUCCACCUCGAUGUUGAAUUCUCCUACCUAACCCCCGCAAGCGGGGGUUGAUUAUAGACUGUUCGUCUAAUUAAAGAG